UACGUAUGGUGCAAGCGUUAUCCGGAUUUACUGGGUGUAAAGGGAGCGCAGGCGGCACGGCAAGCCUGAUGUGAAAGCCCGCGGCCCAACCGCGGGACUGCAUUGGGAACUACCGGGCUGGAGUGCCGGAGAGGUAGGCGGAAUACCUAGUGUAGCGGUGAAAUGCGUAGAUAUUAGGAGGAACACCAGUGGCGAAGGCGGCCUACUGGACGGUGACUGACGCUGAGGCUCGAAAGCGUGGGGAGCAAACAGG
rnacentral:rRNA from 1 species